UCCAGACUCCUACGGGAGGCAGCAGUGGGGAAUAUUGCACAAUGGGGGGAACCCUGAUGCAGCGACGCCGCGUGGGUGAAGGAGUACUUCGGUACGUAAAGCCCUAUCAGCAGGAAAGAAAAUGACGGUACCUGACUAAGAAGCCCCGGCUAACUACGUGCCAGCAGCCGCGGUAAUACGUAGGGGGUAAGCGUUAUCCGGAUUUACUGGGUGUAAAGGGAGCGUAGACGGCAACGCAAGUCUGGAGUGAAAUGCCGGGGCCCAACCCCGGAACUGCUUUGGAAACUGUGCAGCUCGAGUGCAGGAGAGGUAAGCGGAAUUCCUAGUGUAGCGGUGAAAUGCGUAGAUAUUAGGAGGAACACCAGUGGCGAAGGCGGCUUACUGGACUGUAACUGACGUUGAGGCUCGAAAGCGUGGGGGGCAAACAGGAUUAGAUACCCUCGUA
rnacentral:rRNA from 1 species